UUUGUAUUACGUGCGGAAAUUGUUACCAUUUCCGGCUCAAAAAUGGUAACAAUUUCCGCACGUAAUACAAA
rnacentral:miRNA from 1 species